AUGAACGCUAGCUACAGGCUUAACACAUGCAAGUCGAGGGGCAGCAUGGACCCAGCUUUGCUGGGUUUGAUGGCGACCGGCGCACGGGUGAGUAACGCGUAUCCAACCUGCCCUUUACUCCGGGAUAGUCUCCUGAAAGGGAGUUUAAUACCGGAUGUGUUUGUCUUUCCGCAUGGGAGCGACAAAUAAAGAUUAAUUGGUAAAGGAUGGGGAUGCGUCCCAUUAGCUUGUUGGCGGGGUAACGGCCCACCAAGGCGACGAUGGGUAGGGGUUCUGAGAGGAAGGUCCCCCACAUUGGAACUGAGACACGGUCCAAACUCCUACGGGAGGCAGCAGUGAGGAAUAUUGGUCAAUGGGCGGGAGCCUGAACCAGCCAAGUAGCGUGAAGGACGACGGCCCUACGGGUUGUAAACUUCUUUUAUAAGGGAAUAAAGUUCGCCACGUGUGGUGUUUUGUAUGUACCUUAUGAAUAAGCAUCGGCUAAUUCCGUGCCAGCAGCCGCGGUAAUACGGAAGAUGCGAGCGUUAUCCGGAUUUAUUGGGUUUAAAGGGAGCGUAGGCGGGCUUUUAAGUCAGCGGUCAAAUGUCGUGGCUCAACCAUGUCAAGCCGUUGAAACUGUAAGCCUUGAGUCUGCACAGGGCACAUGGAAUUCGUGGUGUAGCGGUGAAAUGCUUAGAUAUCACGAAGAACUCCGAUCGCGAAGGCAUUGUGCCGGGGCAUAACUGACGCUGAGGCUCGAAAGUGCGGGUAUCAAACAGGAUUAGAUACCCUGGUAGUCCGCACGGUAAACGAUGAAUGCUCGCUAUGGGCGAUAUAUUGUCCGUGGCCAAGCGAAAGCGUUAAGCAUUCCACCUGGGGAGUACGCCGGCAACGGUGAAACUCAAAGGAAUUGACGGGGGCCCGCACAAGCGGUGGAGCAUGUGGUUUAAUUCGAAGCAACGCGAAGAACCUUACCAGGUCUUGACAUCGAUCUAAAAGGGAUGGAGACAUCCUCAUAGCUAUAGAGAAGACAGGUGGUGCAUGGUUGUCGUCAGCUCGUGCCGUGAGGUGUCGGCUUAAGUGCCAUAACGAGCGCAACCCUUCUCCCCAGUUGCCAUCGGGUAAUGCCGGGCCCUCUGGGGACACUGCCAUCGUAAGAUGCGAGGAAGGUGGGGAUGACGUCAAAUCAGCACGGCCCUUACGUCCGGGGCCACACACGUGUUACAAUGGGGGGUACAGAGGGCCGCUGUCCGGUGACGGUCGGCCAAUCCCUAAAACCCCUCUCAGUUCGGACUGGAGUCUGCAACCCGACUCCACGAAGCUGGAUUCGCUAGUAAUCGCGCAUCAGCCAUGGCGCGGUGAAUACGUUCCCGGGCCUUGUACACACCGCCCGUCAAGCCAUGAAAGCCGGGGGUGCCUGAAGUCCGUGACCGCGAGGGUCGGCCUAGGGUAAAACUGGUGAUUGGGGCU
rnacentral:rRNA from 1 species